CUACGGGAUGCUCCAGUUAGGAAUAUUGCACAAUGGGGGGAACCCUGAUGCAGCAACGCCGCGUGGAGGAUGACGCAUUUCGGUGUGUAAACUCCUUUUAUAUGUCAAGAAAAUGACGGUAGCACAUGAAUAAGCACCGGCUAACUCCGUGCCAGCAGCCGCGGUAAUACGGAGGGUGCAAGCGUUACUCGGAAUCACUGGGCGUAAAGGACGCGUAGGCGGGUUGGAAAGUCAGGUGUGAAAUCCUACAGCUUAACUGUAGAACUGCACUUGAAACUUCUAAUCUAGAGUAUGGGAGGGGGAGAUGGAAUUAGUGGUGUAGGGGUAAAAUCCGUAGAUAUCACUAGGAAUACCUAAAGCGAAGGCGAUCUCCUGGAACAUUACUGACGCUAAGGCGUGAAAGCGUGGGGGGCAAACAGGAUUAGAUACCCGCGUAGUC
rnacentral:rRNA from 1 species